UACAGAGACUGCAAGCGUUAUUCGGAUUCACUGGGCGUAAAGGGCGCGUAGGCGGCCUCCGCAAGUCGACUGUGAAAUCUCCGGGCUUAACCCGGAAAGGUCAGCCGAAACUGCGGGGCUAGAGUGCAGAAGGGGCAACUGGAAUUCUCGGUGUAGCGGUGAAAUGCGUAGAUAUCGAGAGGAACACCUGCGGCGAAGGCGGGUUGCUGGGCUGACACUGACGCUGGAAGCGCGAAAGCUAGGGGAGCGAACGGG
rnacentral:rRNA from 1 species